AUUGAACGCUGGCGGCAUGCUUUACACAUGCAAGUCGAACGGCAGCGCGGGCUUCGGCCUGGCGGCGAGUGGCGAACGGGUGAGUAAUACAUCGGAACGUGCCCAGUAGUGGGGGAUAGCUCGGCGAAAGCCGGAUUAAUACCGCAUACGACCUGAGGGUGAAAGCGGGGGAUCUUCGGACCUCGCGCUAUUGGAGCGGCCGAUGGCAGAUUAGCUAGUUGGUGGGGUAAAGGCCUACCAAGGCGACGAUCUGUAGCCGGUCUGAGAGGACGACCAGCCACACUGGAACUGGGACACGGCCCAGACUCCUACGGGAGGCAGCAGUGGGGAAUUUUGGACAAUGGGCGAAAGCCUGAUCCAGCAAUGCCGCGUGUGUGAUGAAGGCCUUCGGGUUGUAAAGCACUUUUGGCGGGAACGAAAAGGACUGUGCCAAUACCACGGUUCGAUGACGGUACCCGCAGAAUAAGCACCGGCUAACUACGU
rnacentral:rRNA from 1 species